CUAUACUUCUAAUGUCGUAAAGCCUUUACUAAUGUACUAAAAUCGAACAAAAAAAAAAGAAAAAAAGAGAAGCAGUCGUGAUACCAAAUCUCGGGAAAAGGAAUCCCAAGAGCCCGAGGCUACGAGCAGACGACAAUGAACCUGUCAUCGUGGUUUCACAGCAGUGUUUCGAGGAACAGUAAUAAGAGCAAAAAUCCAGAGCAACAGCAAUCCAACCAGUCCGACCAAAACCAACAGAGCAAAGCAGUAGUAGAAGAAGAAGAAGAAUUGUUUGGAGUUACCCAACAAUUAAUCGAUUAUGUCAAGUCCUUCACUUCGGAAACCUUCAAGAAUUUCCCCCUCCAAGAUCAUGAGGCAGCUAAUUCUAACAGUGAAACCCAAACUUCUUCUAAUGUGCGUAAGGAUCUUUCUGACUGGCAAGAGCGGCAUGCUGUCAUAGUUCUUGCAAAAGUCAAGGUACUUUCACAGCUUAGAUUUCAGCUAUGCCCUCGCCACUUGAAGGAGGAUAAAUUUUGGAGGAUAUAUUUCAUGCUUGUCAAGAGCCAUGUGGCUGGUUUUCACCAUUAUUCUUUAUGUCACCACGCAAAGAACCUGCUAACAGCGGCACUGGACCAAGAACAACGCCAUUGCUGCACUGCUACUACCAGAUGGCCAGCACCAUGUUCUUUUUUCUAGUUUGCUGACCUACCAUCAUCUCUGCAACUUUAUCACUACCACAGCAGCUACAUCCCCAUAAAGUUCAAUUCCUUUUCUGGACUAACAUCUGACCUAUAUUUACCUGGAGAAUUCAUUUUAAAGGAGCCCAAAAUGCUUUAGCAUUGGAAAAGUUUCUUCACCAUCAAGUGUCACAGACUCACAGUGAAUCUUUUGGGUUGCACAUGCCUUGACAGCACCACUAUAUGAGCUGCAAGCUGUACUACUAGCUAAACUAAAAGGGAAUUCUAUGUCGAAUGAGAAAACAUUGGAUACCAGUGCAUAUGAAGUUGAAAUGGCAGAAAGAAAUCAAGCAGCUAGUAUUGCACCAUCAACUCCAUG